GCCAGGUGCAGUGGUGCGUGCCUGUAAUCCCAGACACUGGGGAGGCUGAGGCAGGAGGAUUUCAAGUCAAGGCCAGCCUCAGAAACUUAGUAAGACCCUAUCUCAA
rnacentral:sRNA from 1 species